AUUGAACGCUGGCGGCAGGCCUAACACAUGCAAGUCGAACGAGUGGCGGACGGGUGAGUAAUGUCUGGGAAACUGCCCGAUGGAGGGGGAUAACUACUGGAAACGGUAGCUAAUACCGCAUACCAUCAGAUGUGCCCAUAUGGGAUUAGCUAGUAGGUGGGGUAACGGCUCACCUAGGCGACGAUCCCUAGCUGGUCUGAGAGGAUGACCAGCCACACUGGAACUGAGACACGGCCCAGACUCCUACGGGAGGCAGCAGUGGGGAAUAUUGCACAAUGGGCGAAAGCCGGAUGCAGCCAUGCCGCGUGUAUGAAGAAGGCCUUCGGGUUGUAAAGUACUUUCAGUGGGGAGGCGUUACUCACAGAAGAAGCACCGGCUAACUCCGUGCCAGCAGCCGCGGUAAUAC
rnacentral:rRNA from 1 species